rnacentral:lncRNA from 1 species
GUGAAGGGGAAGGCAUGACAGAUGUGCCUUCCUUAGGGAGAAGUAGGAAGGCUGGAAUGAGGAGGCCAGAAGAGGAAUGUCCUACGUGAACGUGAUUUAACAGCUCCAUCGCCUGGGGCCACGUGGAAUUCUUGAAGCAGCUGUGUCAGACAUCCGAGUCAAGUUGGGGCAUGAGUGACCUCUCAACAUCUAAUGGAGCAUUUACUCCUUUGGACCAGAGGAGAAGAUAUGGAUGAACUCCUUGGACCCACCCUGUUCCCAGCUCAUCUGGGAGAAUGAAGCUAAUUGGUAAAUCCACUGUUUGAUGCUUGUAAUGAAGACUCAAGGAGUUCUGUCUCUACCAAGUUCCUUGCCCUUAAUGACUCAAGAAUUAAUUUUAUCUUUUCCUCUCAAAACCUUGAAAGAAAUGCUUGAGUCCUUGUAACCUGUAAAAUAAAUGUUGUUACUGAAGGGAAAAGCAA